CCACGCAGACUCAGUCUCCUCCCUAUAAUAAAUUAUCAACAUUUCACCAGUUUAACUUGAAGAAAAGGACCAUCAUCACAAACUUUGACUAUCCAAAAGUUGUUGCACAAGAAUUAUACUUAUCAGUUACAAAAAUUAGAACCUUUUAAGUAAAGAAAAGAUCCAAAUUAGUUUGACAUACAACAUAGCCAGUGGGGUCUAGAGAGGUUAGAGUAGACACAAACCUUACCCCU
rnacentral:misc_RNA from 1 species